CUGGGUGAAAGUAUUGGCCAAAGUCCUUGGCAGCCAUCUGGGAGCAAUACUCUACAGGGUGAGAGACGGCAACUAGAGUCAGUGCAGCCAGAAUUCUCCCUGGAUCCCUGUUUACCGUCCGCACUCCAUCUGCUCCUGCUGCCUACAGUUCUGAGGGGCUGCUCACCCGCAGGGUUGAAGCUGAAGUGGGGACUCCGGUGUUCCAAGCAAGAAGAGAAGAGGAAGCAGAGACCCAGGUUUCUUCCCUUGAAGUAGAAGAGUUUCAGAGGACUUCUGUCGGCACUAGUAAAGUUUGCCUCUAGAACAACAUCACUUUCCACCACGAUGCUGCCGUUGCUGCAAACAGGAGAGACUUCAGCACUUCCCCCACAUCGCCAACACCCAGCAAGGAAGACAAAGGUAGCAAGAGGGGAGAUGGGAAGGUGAA